UGAAAUCAAUACGUGUUCGAUGUUACCACUGUGAUGUAUCCAUAAAACAGCGAUCAUAGGCGUGGACUGGAAAUCGUUGACCAUCCCAGCUUGUCUGCCCAUCACGACCGAUUACUUCCCGGACAAGCGUAGCCUGCAAAACGACUACGUAGUCUCGGACUACGAUCUGCUACCCGACGACGUCAACGCGGACUACGCCCAGCAGCGAGCCAUCUACAGGAAGCCCCUUACCACCCCCGAGGUCUUCAAAGAACUCGUUUCUCAGCGGCUCGCACAGGGAUUCCAGUUGAUAAUCCUGCCACCGAGUAAAAAUCGAAUAGCGACGCCGGGCUCGGGCUCGGCGCCGCCGAUAAGUUCGAUCAUGCGGGCCGGUCGGCAGGCUGAUUCGGAGCACAAGGAGGAGUACUUGCUGAGCAUCGGCAGGAUGUUUCACAAAAUAUCGCUGCGCGGCAAUUCGAUCAGCGUUACCAGAUAUAGG